rnacentral:tRNA from 1 species
GUUCUUGUAGUUGAAGUACAACGGUGAUUUUUCAUGU